rnacentral:rRNA from 1 species
GUCGAGCGAACGGACGAGAAGCUUGCUUCUCUGAUGUUAGCGGCGGACGGGUGAGUAACACGUGGAUAACCUACCUAUAAGACUGGGAUAACUUCGGGAAACCGGAGCUAAUACCGGAUAAUAUUUUGAACCGCAUGGUUCAUAAGUGAAAGACGGUCUUGCUGUCACUUAUAGAUGGAUCCGCGCUGCAUUAGCUAGUUGGUAAGGUAACGGCUUACCAAGGCAACGAUGCAUAGCCGACCUGAGAGGGUGAUCGGCCACACUGGAACUGAGACACGGUCCAGACUCCUACGGGAGGCAGCAGUAGGGAAUCUUCCGCAAUGGGCGAAAGCCUGACGGAGCAACGCCGCGUGAGUGAUGAAGGUCUUCGGAUCGUAAAACUCUGUUAUUAGGGAAGAACAUAUGUGUAAGUAACUGUGCACAUCUUGACGGUACCUAAUCAGAAAGCCACGGCUAACUACGUGCCAGCAGCCGCGGUAAUACGUAGGUGGCAAGCGUUAUCCGGAAUUAUUGGGCGUAAAGCGCGCGUAGGCGGUUUUUUAAGUCUGAUGUGAAAGCCCACGGCUCAACCGUGGAGGGUCAUUGGAAACUGGAAAACUUGAGUGCAGAAGAGGAAAGUGGAAUUCCAUGUGUAGCGGUGAAAUGCGCAGAGAUAUGGAGGAACACCAGUGGCGAAGGCGACUUUCUGGUCUGUAACUGACGCUGAUGUGCGAAAGCGUGGGGAUCAAACAGGAUUAGAUACCCUG